rnacentral:lncRNA from 1 species
GGAUGGUUAGCAUGAGGAGGGUACUAGUGUAAUGGUGCAUUGUUGCCAAGGGAAGGCCAGAAGGGCCGCAUCAGGAGUUAGGGAUAGAGAUUGGCAAGAGGUGCGUUGAUUGCUAAUUAAUGUAAUGGUAUUUUGCAAGUGAAUAAAAUUGAAAUCUCAGUGAAUUCCGGUAGAGAAAUAAUGAACUAAGUGGAAUUUGCAAGUAGUACUAGAACAUGGAGAGAUAGCUUCCAUAUGACAUGAAGACUCUAGAAACUACUUGAUGGAAACUACACUAAUUACAUAGGAUACAUCCAUUUAAAAUUCAUAAUCGCCCAUUAGUGAUACAUCAGGUUAGUCCGUUGUUGCUAAAUAUAUAGUACAAGAUAGUCUAUUCAUGAACAUUCAUCGAGCAUUGACUAUUUUGCUCCAUUG